UAGGGAAUCUUCGGCAAUGGACGAAAGUCUGACCGAGCAACGCCGCGUGAGUGAAGAAGGUUUUCGGAUCGUAAAACUCUGUUGGUAGAGAAGAACGUUGGUGAGAGUGGAAAGCUCAUCAAGUGACGGUAAGUACCCAGAAAGGGACGGCUAACUACGUGCCAC
rnacentral:rRNA from 1 species